GCAUACGUCUACSGGAGAAGCAGGGGACUUCGGGCCUGCGCUAUCGAUGAGCCUGGUCGGAUUGCUAGUUGGGGGGUAAUGCUCACCAAGCGACGAUCCYAACUGGUCGAGAGGAUGUCAGUCACAUGGAACUGAACACGGUCCGACUCCUACGGAGGCAGCGUGGGGAAUUUGGACAAUGGCGAAAGCUGAUCCAGCAUGCCGCGUUGUGAAGAAGUCUUCGGAUGUAAAGCAUUUAAGUUGGAGGAAGGGAGUAAAUUAUACUUUGCUUUUUGACGUACCCGACAGAUAAGCACCGCUAACUCUUGCCAGCAGCCGCGGUAAACAGAGGGUCAAGCGUUAUCGGAAUUAUGGGCGUAAGCGCGCGUAGUGGUUCGUAAGUUGGAUUGAAAUCCCCGGGCCUCACCUGGGAACUGCAUUCAAACUGACGAGUAGAGUAUUGUAGARGGU
rnacentral:rRNA from 1 species